rnacentral:rRNA from 1 species
UUUUUAGNNUUUNNNNCCCCCGUCAGGACGAACGCUGGCGGCGUGCCUAAUACAUGCAAGUCGAACGCUUUUUCUUUCACCGGAGCUUGCUCCACCGAAAGAAAAGGAGUGGCGAACGGGUGAGUAACACGUGGGUAACCUGCCCAUCAGAAGGGGAUAACACUUGGAAACAGGUGCUAAUACCGUAUAACAAUCGAAACCGCAUGGUUUCGGUUUGAAAGGCGCUUUUGCGUCACUGAUGGAUGGACCCGCGGUGCAUUAGCUAGUUGGUGAGGUAACGGCUCACCAAGGCAACGAUGCAUAGCCGACCUGAGAGGGUGAUCGGCCACAUUGGGACUGAGACACGGCCCAAACUCCUACGGGAGGCAGCAGUAGGGAAUCUUCGGCAAUGGACGCAAGUCUGACCGAGCAACGCCGCGUGAGUGAAGAAGGUUUUCGGAUCGUAAAACUCUGUUGUUAGAGAAGAACAAGGAUGAGAGUAGAAUGUUCAUCCCUUGACGGUAUCUAACCAGAAAGCCACGGCUAACUACGUGCCAGCAGCCGCGGUAAUACGUAGGUGGCAAGCGUUGUCCGGAUUUAUUGGGCGUAAAGCGAGCGCAGGCGGUUUCUUAAGUCUGAUGUGAAAGCCCCCGGCUCAACCGGGGAGGGUCAUUGGAAACUGGGAAACUGA